GACGAGCCACACAAACGUUAUUCGGAAUUACUGGGCUUAAAGGGUGUGUAGGCGGUUCUUUAAGUUUGGUGUGAAAUCUCCCGGCUCAACCGGGAGGGUGCGCCGAAUACUGAGGGACUAGAGUGCGGGAGAGGAAAGUGGAAUUCCUGGUGUAGCGGUGAAAUGCGUAGAUAUCAGGAGGAACACCGGUGGUGUAGACGGCUUUCUGGACCGUAACUGACGCUGAGACACGAAAGCGUGGGUAGCAAACAGG
rnacentral:rRNA from 1 species